rnacentral:rRNA from 1 species
CUCGAGAUGAGUCUUCCCUGAUUCUUUAAGAAUCCUGAAGGAACGUUUGAGACUAAGACGUUGAUAGGCUGGGUGUGUAAGCGCAGCGAUGCGUUGAGCUGACCAGUACUAAUGAACCGUGAGGCUUAACCUGACAACACCGAAGGUGUUU